CAGUCGUGCAGUCAUCAACUCAACGGUAUCGUGAGGUAAUUUAUUGCUUUACGUUUCCGUGUACUUUGUUGUCUGCUGGUUAGCAUCAAUUUUGAUUGUCAUAAAAAGGUUAAGGGGAUGUGGCUCCUUCGGGAGUGUUAUAACCCUUGGCGGAAUGUGACGAUUGGGAUUGAGGAUUGCAACGAUACCUUUAGGGCUGUUCCACUGGCCUUCUCUUUGGUAUCCUGGUGACGACAGCUUGCUGACGUCGUUAGGAUUCGCCUUUGAACNGGCUAGAGUGUGAG
rnacentral:rRNA from 1 species